rnacentral:lncRNA from 1 species
GGGGGUUUGGAGGGAGGGGUGCCUGUGGGCGCCACGGGAAACUGUCAGUGCCUGAGCUGCUUGGCUUAGGGGCUGGCACCAGAGUGGGCAGCUGCCUCCAGCCCCGCCUUUCCAGCCUCCCAUGUUUUCGGUGAUGACCACAGUGGCACCUGGGCCUUUAAUCCCACCCCAGCGUUCCUCCUCUGGCAGGGGGCCCCCGGGGAGCCACACCUUGGCUUCAGCCUCACACCACCCCAUCUCUUCUCCUUGAAACAGACACCCGGCGGCAGUUCCUGCAGGAAGGAGGCUGUCCUGCCACGCCUGCGGGUGACCCGGCCUCUGGUGCCAGAGCCUGCCAUCCUUCCUGUUUGUGCUGCCAGGCUGGCAGGGUCCCUUGCCACCGACCUCAGCCGCAGCCACAGCCUGCUCCCUCCCUGGGUGGAUUUGAAGGAGCCUCCCCCACCCUCCGCCCCUAGCUUGCUCCUUGAGGACCCUGGGCAGGGUGGCUGCCAUGGGGCCCAAUCGUGCGUGGGAACCUGCGAGCUGGCAAACGGGGCUCGGGGGUUUUGCCCAGAAAUGGGUCAGAACGAAAGCCUCUCAGAGGAAAGAAAAGGGCAUGAGUCAAAGAGAAAGUCGGGGGGCAGGGGCUCCCCCUCAUCUCACCCCACCCAGGCCUCCUGACUCCCUGGGUUUGUGCGGACCCAGGCAGGCAGCCAACCCCAGCUCCGUGGUGUGUGAGCAUCGUGAUGAUCAGGACACAAGCUCUUCCCCGCUGAGCCUUCACUGUGGGCCAGCUUCCCGGUGGAUGCCCACUGAAGAGGCCUCAACCCAGUGGGCCCCACUCCAGACCAAGAGCAGACCAUUGGCCAGCUGCCCCCUGCAGACAGCGGCACCCGGGGCAGCAGCAAGGUGAGGGGCACCCAGCCCCAGCCCCAGGGGCGUCUCAGGGAGCGGGCUGAGCCUGGCUGUCUUCCUGAGCCCCACCUGCUUCAUGGGUUGGCUUGAGCAAGGCAGUCCAGAUGCGUGUCUCGAGCGCUCCCUGGCGGCAUGCUGCAAAGCUACAUGGCUCCGGCAACAAGGAAGACUGCCCUUAUUCUCAGUAACAGGUGGAGCUGGGGGCUGGAGAGCCCCUCGGACCUCGCCUUGGGAAAGCUGGGUGGGUGCACGGAGCCUGGCAGGUGGCCAAGGGGACCCCCAAGUGGAGGGAUUGGUCGAGGGGCAGCACAGGGUGGUGCAGUGGGUGAGCUCAGCCCCUCCCCUCCAACUCUCAUCCCAUUGAGCCCCAAGGCGUGGGGGGAUCACGUCUGUCCUUGUUCUCCUCCAGGUGGAGCUGCUGGGUGGGGCUCUGGUCCUCCAGGGACCCACUCUGCACCCCAAGUUUUGCCGGGACCCGCUCCUCUGUGUUGUGUGGCUGUAGGGGAGGGCUGCAGCCAGGGACUCUGAACCCGGGGCCGGCCCACCCAGCCACCCAGGGUGGGGAACAAGAUCGCCUCCCAGGGCCAGAAGCUGGGGAUGUCCUUGCUUCCUAGGAUGUUGGCUAGGGGAUCACACGCCCCACAUUCUGGGUCAAGCAUGGUCCUGCCCCAGCAUCUUGCUGGGUUGGGGGCAUCUCUGCACAGAUGAGUGCCACCCCAGCGUCUCCGCCAGGGUCUGGGCAUGUCACUCUUGGGCAUCUGUGCUCAGGAGGUCACCAGGUGUGGGCAGGGCACCAAGCAGGGAGGUAGCCGAGGCUGGAAGAUGCACAUCAGUGCCCCGCUGGGCUUCCUCAAGUGGGAACUGGUGGAGGGGGCGCUAGGCUGCCGGGCCAGGGUCAGCAGGCUCAGGCCGGCUCAGGGCUCAGAGUUGAGCCAGAAACCAAGGUGAAAUCUGCCUCUUACUGCCGCCAGGGCCCUUGGGACAGGGACAGGAACAGCAGAAGGUAAAGUGGAAAGGAAUUGAGUAAUGGGCCCCCAGGCAAGGCUGAGCCAGGCCCCAAGCCCAGGAUUGGGGUCUCCAGAGUCCCUGGGGGCCCCAGGGCAGCUCACCCACAGCCUGGGGCCUAUGGGAGCAAGGGGGCUCCUGAUGGGUGGGGGCAGGAGCUUGGACAAAGUUGAAGGCCUUCUGUCUGAAUUGGCCAGGGGCCAAUGAAAGCCAAAAAGCUGGUGUGGUGGCUUAUGCCUGUAAUCCCACUUUGGGAGGCCAAGGCGGGUGGAUCACCUGAGGUCAGGAGUUCGAGACCAGCCUGGUCAACAUGGUGAAACCCCAUCUCCACUAAAAAUAGCUGGGCGUGGUGGCAGGCACCUGUAUGUAAUCCCAAAUACUCGGGAGGCUGAGGCAGGAGAAUCACUUGAACCUGGGAGAUGGAGGUUGCAGAGAGCCAAGAUCAUAUCACUGCACUCCAGCCUGGCUGACAGAGUGAGAAUCUGUCUCAAAAAAAAAAAAAACAAUUCCAAAAAGGCGAGUGGGGAGCAGGGUGCUAGGCUGCAUGGGGGCCUAUGCCCCCACCGGAGGACCUAGCCCCCUGCCAACCCUUCCCCAGCUCAGGCCCACCAGCUCCCUUCUCACACAGCUGCUCUGGGAGGGAGUCCUUCCUUGCCAAUACCUAAGAGAAUGGGCAGCAGGGACCCUGAGGACAGGUUGGGGACACCCAGAACAAGAAGAAGAUGGGACACACUAGGAGGCUCUUGGGCCCCUGCGUCAGGCCAGCAGGAUAGGUGUGUAUUGUGACCUGAGGGACUGAACGUGGAGCUCCAGGGGAACCUCCCAGCCAGUGACACGCUGGCCUUGGGCCAGACGCUGCCCUGCGCCCUUGAGUGACGCUCGGGCCUCCCUGCACCCACCCGCUUUCCCUGUGGCUAAUGGCUUAGAGUGAAGGAUGGUGGGCGUGGGCGUGCCACGUGGGCUCAGCGUCCACCCUGCCCCAUGCACGCAGGCACCCAUCACACCAGGGCCCACACACAGGCUCCCAUCACACCCUGCCCCAUCACAGCAGUGCCCAGAGGGACAUGGGGCUCCCAGCUGAGGGCCAGCCCAAGGUCACAGCUGCCAGCGAAUGUCAACCAGAAAAACGUGAAAAGGAGACGACAGGCCUCGCCUCCCAGCCUACAUCUUUCUCCUGUGCUGGACGCUUCCUGCCCUCGAACAUCGGACUCCAAGUUCAGCUUUGAGACUCGGGCUGGCUCUCCAUGCUCCUCAGCUUGCAGACGGCCUAUUGUGGGACCUUGUGAUCGUGUGAGUUAAUACUUAAUAAACUCCCCUUCAUAUA